rnacentral:rRNA from 1 species
GAUGAACGCUGGCGGCGUGCCUAAUACAUGCAAGUCGAGCGAACAGACGAGGAGCUUGCUCCUCUGACGUUAGCGGCGGACGGGUGAGUAACACGUGGAUAACCUACCUAUAAGACUGGGAUAACUUCGGGAAACCGGAGCUAAUACCGGAUAACAUGUUGAACCGCAUGGUUCAACAGUGAAAGACGGUUUUGCUGUCACUUAUAGAUGGAUCCGCGCCGCAUUAGCUAGUUGGUAAGGUAACGGCCUACCAAGGCAACGAUGCGUAGCCGACCUGAGAGGGUGAUCAGCCACACUGGAACUGAGACACGGUCCAGACUCCUACGGGAGGCAGCAGUAGGGAAUCUUGCGCAAUGGGCGAAAGCCUGACGGAGCAACGCCGCGUGAGUGAAGAAGGUCUUCGGAUCGUAAAACUCUGUUAUUAGGGAAGAACAAAUGUGUAAGUAACUAUGCACGUCUUGACGGUACCUAAUCAGAAAGCCACGGCUAACUACGUG